AGAACGAACGCUGGCGGCAGGCCUAACACAUGCAAGUCGAGCGCCCAGCAAUGGGAGCGGCGGACGGGUGCGUAACGCGUGGGAAUAUGCCUUUCGGUACGGAACAACUCAGGGAAACUUGAGCUAAAUACCGUAUACGCCCUUAGGGGGAAAGAUUUAUCGCCGAAAGAUUAGCCCGCGUAGGAUUAGCUUGUUGGUGAGGUAAUGGCUCACCAAGGCGACGAUCCUUAGCUGGUUUGAGAGAACGACCAGCCACACUGGGACUGAGACACGGCCCAGACUCCUACGGGAGGCAGCAGUGGGGAAUCUUGGACAAUGGGGAAACCCUGAUCCAGCCAUGCCGCGUGAGUGAUGAAGGCCUUCGGUUGUAAAACUCUUCGUACGGGACGGAUAAUGACGGUACCCGUAGAAGAAGACUCCGCUAACUUCGCGCCACGCACGCCGCC
rnacentral:rRNA from 1 species